AUUGAACGCUGGCGGCAGGCCUAACACAUGCAAGUCGAACGAGUGGCGGACGGGUGAGUACUGUCUGGGAAACUGCCUGAUGGAGGGGGAUAACUACUGGAAACGGUAGCUAAUACCGCAUACCAUCAGAUGUGCCCAGAUGGGAUUAGCUAGUUGGUGGGGUAACGGCUCACCAAGGCGACGAUCCCUAGCUGGUCUGAGAGGCUGACCGCCAACAUGGGAACUGAGAAACGGUCCAGACCCCUACGGGAGGAAGCAGUGGGGAAUAUUGCACAAUGGGCGUAAGCCUGAUGCAGCCAUGCCGCGUGUAUGAAGAAGGCCUUCGGGUUGUAAAGUACUUUCAGCGGGGAGGCGUUACCCGCAGAAGAAGCACCGGCUAACUCCGUGCCAGCCGCCGCGUAAUUC
rnacentral:rRNA from 1 species